rnacentral:rRNA from 1 species
GACGAACGCUGGCGGCGUGCUUAACACAUGCAAGUCGAACGGAAAGGCCCUGCUUUUGUGGGGUGCUCGAGUGGCGAACGGGUGAGUAACACGUGAGUAACCUGCCCUUGACUUUGGGAUAACUUCAGGAAACUGGGGCUAAUACCGGAUAGGAGCUCCUGCUGCAUGGUGGGGGUUGGAAAGUUUCGGCGGUUGGGGAUGGACUCGCGGCUUAUCAGCUUGUUGGUGGGGUAGUGGCUUACCAAGGCUUUGACGGGUAGCCGGCCUGAGAGGGUGACCGGCGGGAUGGGGACUGAGAGAGAGGGGAGAGGACUGCGGGGGGACGCAGGGGGGGGGAGUGCACAGUGGGCGGAAGUCUGAGGCCGCAACGGCGGGUGCGGGAGGGAGGGCUUAGGGAGGGAAAAAGGUUGAGCCGGUGACGAAGAGGGAGGGAGGGGAAUGGGGAAAGAAGAAAAGGCGAAUGACGUG